rnacentral:lncRNA from 7 species
AACCAUCUGCAGUUAAACCUGUGGCUGAGCUGAUGGGGGAAGCUUGGAAGAGCCCUUUGGAUGCUUUUCUCUAGCUUUGCAGAGAUGCUUCCCUAUUUUUACACUGAUGCUCUGCUGCAGCACAAGAGGACCAUUGAAUUGAAGGAUUAACAAGAGCUGCUAGUUAGGUCUUACAGGUGUGAGACAGCAAUGUUCAUUCAGUGAACAAAAAGUCUACUUAAACAGUUUAACUGUAUUUCAGCUGACCUCUAGCUCCAGUCCUGAGAACAAAGCAGGCUCUUACUAAGACAGAAGAUGUACCUUUGGGAUCUCCACAAGUGGCCACUUGGGACUUGCUGCUCAGAGAGUUUGAGUUCAAGAUAGCAGCAUAGUUUCUGUGGGAGUCUGAUACCACUUAGAGGAUGGUGCUUUCCCCAAGAUGUCAAGCUGGGACCAGGAAUAGAAGCAGUCUUCUGUUUGUCUCUGUGUACCACAGGGUUUUAAUUACUUCAUAACAAUGACAUGAGUAACUGCGUGAGUGCUCUGUAAUGUCAACAAGAAGCUGGAGAUAGCAGUGUACAUGGUUUUCUCGUUAUGUAUGCUACGUACUGAAGGGUAAAGGAACAUGAAUCCAAAAGUAUAUGGUUCGAAUAAAACGACCUAUUCUACAGCACUCUGGCACCUCUAUUUAGAAUGUGUAGGCCACUCUAAAAAGUAAUACCUUCUAUUUAUUUCCGUGGAAACUGCAAUGGACACAAAGAACAGAAUAACACUAUUUGACAGAACAAAUUCUCAGCCACAAAACAAUAUUUCUCAACAUAGUCACUACCAUUAGCUAUGUAUUUUCAUCAGGGUCUAACAAGCACAUCCACAUAAGAACUUAUCAGACUUGGAAGUGAUACAGCAGAAAUUCCCAGAGGAAAACUUUGGACACAGCUAACUUGUGUAGCACUGAAAGGCCAGAAGAGGGAGAGAAGUUGUUUUCAGAUUGUGAACUGGUAGGAAGAUGCAAAUGAAGUUAUCUCCUGUCGUGUGACACCUAUCAAGCAGGACUUGAUGUUCCUUGUCAGGGAGCAGGAUUUCUGUAACAGAUACCAGGUUCCGCUGCCAAUUUCUUUCUCCUGAUAGAACAGUUUGCAAGAUCCUAAAUUUUUGGGAACCAUUGAGUUCAGAGAGAGUAGCAACACAGCUGAAAGUGUUACAUAAACAACAUAUGCUAGAUGUCUGUGCAGAGCUGGUUAGCUCCACACAGAGCAGUAAAAACUGCACAGAACGUAGUAGCUUAGUUCCCAACUUCAACAAUGAGGAAGAGCAUUAAAAGGAGAAAAAAAAAAAUGGAUCUCUGUUUAAUUUUGUACUGAAGUUACAGGCUUUUCCUCAUGUUCUGUUGAAUGUUUGUAUUAAGGGAAACUGAUACGUAAGUCACAUCUCAAUGAAAUGGCCCAGUCAGAGCGUAGGGUCAACAGUUAGUCUUGGAUUCAUCUAGCAUAACUUUUUUACCAUCUAAAAUAUAGCCAUCAGCUUUCAGACAGCUGUCUAGACAUACUCUAGAGCAGAAAGAAAGAGAUGCUACCUGAGGGCAGCUCAACAACUUGUAGAAGGACGUGAAAGUCUGGCGAAGCAAAGCUUACUGCAGCCUGUGCUGAGUCCUGCAUUUUCGUGACAUACAACAAGAAGUUACUGUAACUGCAGUAAAUAGCCCUCUGCAAAGUGUUAUUUUUCUCGGUCUUGACUUGCGUGUUCUCAAUUGACUGCAGUUUCUGCUUUGUCUCCAGAUUCAUAUUCAAGCGCUGUCAUAUUUGCUGGUUUUCUCAUGAAUUGUGCGGCUGGUGUUCUGACAACUGAGUGCUGCCUUGGUGGUGGCAUUACUGCAGGGCAUUUGUGCUGUGCCUGCGAUGACAGGGCCUGACAUUCAAAGCUUGGCUUCAUCCAGUUGCUUGAGGGGGGUCGAGAGCGAAUUCUUGCCUGGGAGCUGCAGCCUUGAUGCCAAAUCUUUUAAGGAAGCCUGUAUCUCAGAGGCGAGAGCUCCCCUUCUUCCUGCUCAUUAGGUGGUAGGAUCUGCUACAGUGCUCCCACUUCUACAAUGCCACAGGCAAGAGCUACCGCUGCGUUUUGCAUUUUUACCUGAAUCAUUGGCAUUCUACCUCUCUGCAUUUGAGACUUGGAUUAGGUAUCAGGUUUAAGAAGAGGCUGGGAGACACAGAAGCAUGCUGACUGCUUUUUAAAUCAAGCCUGAUUAGACAUGAAAAAAAAAUUAUUUCUAUUAUAUAUUUAUGAAAGCACUGUCUUUCUGCAAACAUUAGCAUUUUCAUCAACUUAUAUGUCAUGCAAAAUGGAUUGUUCUUAGUGUUUGUGUGGGGGAGCAUUGUUAAAUCUGCCUGUUUUUUUGGAUUACUAAAUGUUUUUUC